rnacentral:rRNA from 1 species
CAGAGGGUGCAAGCGUUAAUCGGAAUUACUGGGCGUAAAGCGAGCGUAGUCGGUUAUUUAAGUCGGAUGUGAAAUCCCCGGGCUCAACCUGGGAAUUGCAUUCGAUACUGGAUAGCUAGAGUUCGGCAGAGGGAAGCGGAAUUUCUGGUGUAGCGGUGAAAUGCGUAGAUAUCAGAAGGAACAUCGGUGGCGAAAGCGGCUUCCUGGACCAGAACUGACGAUCAGGCUCGAAAGCGUGGGGAGCAAACAGGAUUAGAUACCCUGGUAGUCCACGCCAUAAACGAUGACAACUAGACGUUGGGGACAUAUGGUCCACAGUGUCGCAGCUAACGCGUUAAGUUGUCCGCCUGGGGAGUACGGCCGCAAGGUUG